rnacentral:rRNA from 1 species
UACGGAGGAUGCAAGCGUUAUCCGGAAUGAUUGGGCGUAAAGGGUCCGCAGGUGGCAGUGUAAGUCUGCUGUCAAAGAAUGAGGCUUAACCUUAUCAAGGCAGUGGAAACUACACAGCUAGAGUACGGUCGGGGUAGAAGGAAUUCCUGGUGUAGCGGUGAAAUGCGUAGAUAUCGUGAGGAACACCAGAGGCGAAGGCGGCUACCUGGACAAUUGCUGACACUCAGGCACGAAAGCGUGGGGAGCAAAAGGG